rnacentral:rRNA from 1 species
UACAGAGGUGGCAAGCGUUGUUCGGAAUUACUGGGCGUAAAGAGCUCGUAGGCGGUUUGUCGCGUCGUCCGUGAAAACUUGGGGCUCAACCCCAAGCUUGCGGGCGAUACGGGCAGACUUGAGUACUGCAGGGGAGACUGGAAUUCCUGGUGUAGCGGUGAAAUGCGCAGAUAUCAGGAGGAACACCGGUGGCGAAGGCGGGUCUCUGGGCAACAACUGACGCUGAGGAGCGAAAGCGUGGGGAGCGAACAGG